rnacentral:rRNA from 1 species
GACGAACGCUGGCGGCGUGCUUAACACAUGCAAGUCGAACGGAAAGGCCCUGCUUUUGUGGGGUGCUCGAGUGGCGAACGGGUGAGUAACACGUGAGUAACCUGCCCUUGACUUUGGGAUAACUUCAGGAAACUGGGGCUAAUACCGGAUAGGAGCUCCUGCUGCAUGGUGGGGGUUGGAAAGUUUCGGCGGUUGGGGAUGGACUCGCGGCUUAUCAGCUUGUUGGUGGGGUAGUGGCUUACCAAGGCUUUGACGGGUAGCCGGCCUGAGAGGGUGACCGGCCACAUUGGGACUGAGAUACGGCCCAGACUCCUACGGGAGGCAGCAGUGGGGAAUAUUGCACAAGGGGCGGAAGCCUGAUGCAGCAACGCCGCGUGCGGGAUGACGGCCUUCGGGUUGUAAACCGCUUUCGCCUGUGACGAAGCGUGAGUGACGGGAAUGGGUAAAGAAGCACCGGCGAACUACGG